GCCUCUAUGAUGCUAACUAAUGAUGGCCCGAGCAGCUUGCCAUAACCCUCCCAAUUAUCAGUCCCCAAGCCUUGGAUUUCACCCUCUGUGAGGUCACCCCAUCCCCCAUGUCAGAGUCAGUUUUGUUUGGUCCAUGCCCACGUCUGGUGCAGCUACACAGGUCCAAGCAGAAGCUACUGGUUGCUGCCUUGUUGGCGAUCGGAUGUGAUGCUGCCACCCUGAUGUGAUCAGAGGCAAGUCUUUUGGGAAGUUGGCUCCUGUGAUUGCCGUGUGCUGAUGUAAACUCUGCCCUGUUGGUUCAUGUUUCAUCUCCGAAGGCCAAAG